rnacentral:rRNA from 1 species
AUUGAACGCUGGCGGCAUGCCUUACACAUGCAAGUCGAACGGCAGCACGGGUGCUUGCACCUGGUGGCGAGUGGCGAACGGGUGAGUAAUACAUCGGAACGUACCUUAUCGUGGGGGAUAACGCAGCGAAAGCUGUGCUAAUACCGCAUACGCCCUGAGGGGGAAAGCGGGGGAUCGAAAGACCUCGCGCGAUUAGAGCGGCCGAUGCCUGAUUAGCUUGUUGGUGGGGUAAAAGCCCACCAAGGCGACGAUCAGUAGCUGGUCUGAGAGGACGAUCAGCUACACUGGGACUGGGACACGGCCCAGACUCCUACGGGAGGCAGCGGUGGUGAAUUUUGGACAAUGGGGGCAACCCUGAUCCAGCAAUGCCGCGUGAGUGAAGAAGGCCUUCGGGUUGUAAAGCUCUUUUGUCAGGGAAGAAACACCGGCUCUAACACAGUCCGGGAAUGACGGUACCUGAAGAAUAAGCACCGGCUAACUACGUGCCAGCCGCCGCAGUAA